rnacentral:rRNA from 1 species
UACGGAGGGUGCAAGCGUUAUCCGGAUUCACUGGGUUUAAAGGGUGCGUAGGUGGGUUGGUGAAGUCAGUGGUGAAAUCUCCGAGCUUAACUUGGGAGACUGCCGUUGAUACUAUCAAUCUUGAAUAUCGCGUAGGUAAGCGGAAUAUGUCAUGUAGCGGUGAAAUGCUUAAGAUAUGACAUAGAACACCAAUUGCGAAGGCAGCUUACUUCACGAUCAUUGACACUGGAGG